GGUGCCUGAGGAGAGGUUGCCUGUGGCAUGUUCGCAUCCCUUGUGACGCACAAUCACGGUCAACCUCUCUUCAGGGCC
rnacentral:pre_miRNA from 13 species